AAAAAAUUAGCCCCGAGCGUGGUGGCAUGAGCCUGUAAUCCCAGCUACUCGGGAGGCCGAGGCAGGAGAAUAGCUUGAACCCAGGAGACGGAGGUUGCAGUGAGCUGAGAUCGCACCAUUGCACUCCAGCCUGGGCAACAGGGCGAGACUCAGUCUCAAAAAAAAAAAGGACGGUGAGAGGUUGAGUGAUUUACUCAAAGUCAUAUAAGUAGUAACUGGUAGGGCUAGGAUUCAAACCCAGGCAUUGUGGCCCAAGCCUGCAUUCUCCACCUGUGCAAGUGUUGUAGUCAGGUUUUGAAUCUGAUCUGGCUGACUUCGGAGCCAGAAUGCAUCAUGAUGUCCGGUACCACCUCUUCCACCCUCAGAGGACCAAGCAUUGAAUGAGACGAUGCAGGCAGAGCACACAGGAAGUACAUCAACACGGUUGUCUUCAUGAUGUCCGGCUGGCUCCAGUUCUGCCUUUCCAUUCUUUGUUUUGUGCCUGGGUUUAUAUCCUUGGCCUUCAGCAGCCUGGAAGCAAGGCCCCCUCUCAGUAUCUGGCCUCAGUUAACUGCUUGGCCAUCUCUGUCCCACCUACUGGCCCAACCCUGGGUUUCUGGAGCACAUCCUCUGGUGUUUCUUGGAAAACUGGAUUGAUAGAGCUGGAGGGGCUCUUGGGGAGUGGCUCCGACCUCACACUGUAUAGAGGAGAAUGCCGAGGCCCAAAGAGUGCAAGAGUCUUGACUAGGCCCAUUCCCACAGUCUACUAAUAAUACUGAGUACCUGCUGUUUCCAGGCACUGUUCUAGUUAUCAUACCAAAGUGAGAAGGUCACUGCACCUACAGAGUCCACCUUAUCAUAGCGAGGGAGAAAGACAAUCAACAAAAAAAUAGGUCAACAAAAAACAUAAACUAGAAAAAUAUCAGAGUGAUAAAGACCACACUGAGCAGAUGAAAGAGAAGGAUCAGGUGGCUACUUCAGGCUGGGUGACUUCUCUGGGCAGGAGACGCUUAACCUGAGAUCUAAAGGAUGAAAAGGUGCCAAUGGGGGCAGUCAAGGGGAAGGGCAUUGUUGGUAGAGGGAACAGCCAGUGAAAAGGCCCUGAGUAUAAGCUUGGUGUGUGAGCACAGUGGAUAGUGAAAUCGAUUUAGUGAGUCCUGACAAGCAUUCAAAAAAUGAAGUAGCUGGGCGCAGUGGCUCACACCUGUAAUCCCAGCACUUUGGGAGGCUGAGGCAGGCGGAUCACGAGGUCAGGAGAUGAAGACCAUCCAAGCCAAAAUGGUAAAACCCCGUCUCUACUAAAAAUACAAAAUUUAGCUGGGCAUGGUGGCGCACUCCUGGAGUCCCAGCUACUUGGGAGGCUGAGGCAGGAGGACGUUGCAGUGAGCCAAGAUCGUGCCACUGCACUCCAGCCUGGUGACAGAACAAGACUCCGUCUUAAAAAAAAAAAAA
rnacentral:lncRNA from 1 species